AUAUAUCUAUACAAUAUAUAAGUCUAAUUGAAGCUGCAAAUUUCUUCUCAGCCCUCAGGGGUACCCAGAGAAUUCUCAUUAGUCUUUGCAGUCUGACAUGCAUUUAUUCUUAAAGAGAGGCAAAGAAGGUGUCAGUAAAUAUGGAUGGCUUCCAGAGAAUCAAAGAACUAACAGUUUGGAUUUGAGGCCUAGGUCGGAAUGCUGGAAGGAGCUUGGUCCUGAAUCCUGAAGAGAACAAGCAUUCUAAGGUCUCCCUAGCCAUGAACAUGUAACAAUCCUUUAUUUUCAUUCACAAUGGUGGUUCACAGGGUCUGGCUUCCUCUAGGUUCUACUUCUAAGACCCAGCAGAGGAUACAGAAGGGGAAAUGGUAGUGGAGGUGGGUUGGUGUAAAUUGUUUGGUCACACAGAGACUACAGGAAGUCAGAACUUCCAUGCAAGGCUUCCAAACAACGCCUGGAAGUGUAGAAGAGGAUCUUGGCAUCUUCGGAAAACAUCAUCUACCAAAAAGUAACAAUAACUAGAUUAUAAGUGAGUUGUCGCCUACUGCUCCAGCACUAUGUCUGCCUGCCACCAAGCUUCCCUCCAUAAUGAUCAUGGAUUAACUCUCUGAAAUUGAAUUGUAAGAUCCAUCCACAGUUUCUCGUGCAGUAACCUCUCAGUGCAAGAUGGAAAUUCAUCUCACCAACUACAUGAUAGCCCAUCAACCCUGAACAUCCCCUCUUCCAGCUGGGCCAUCAAUCACCUUUACACUUUUCAGGUCCCUUAGCUUUACUGUCAGCCUUUAAAGUUCCUCUGUGUCCAGCUGUUGUUCUUAGAGAAAGCAACAGCACUCACAAUGAAAAUAAAAUGCAGCUGAUUCAAAAUCUGGUGUGUACAUUCUUGUCUCUGUAUUUCACAUUUGCGCAAUAAUCAGAUAGAGAUUGAUACCGAUAAGUCUGACAAGCGGAGGAGGGAGAGCAAAGACAGCAACAAGACAAGGAGCUUGAGCCCUCAAGUGAUGGCUACAGCAGUAAGCACCAGGGCAAAUGCCCGGCAGGUAGUCAGGAAACUUCAGUCCCUGCCAAAUUCACUCUCCCAAAUCCAUGCCCAUUUCUCUAUGCCCCACAGUAUAGCAGGAUGAAUGGCAUAGCAUCUUUUAAAGGCUGCAAAAAUCAACCAAAGGACAAUUCCACAACAUAAAAAUUAUAUGAAAUUACAAUUUCAGUGGUCAUAAAUAAAGUUUUGUUGGAGCUAAGACCCAAGUAUUUGUUUACGGACUCUCUGCAAUUGCUUUUGUUCUACAAGAGUGGGGGGCCUCAUUAGCUGCAACACAGAAUUACUAUCUCAAAAGCUAUUAAUAGAGUUUCUGACACUUUAUAGAAGUUAUCUGACUGUUAAACUAAAGACUCAACUUCAGAGCUCUAAGGUUCUGGAGUAGAACUUAAGAGACCUUUCGAUUCCGUAACUAUAAUUACUAUGCUUAUUGUAUCUGUCUCAGGGAUCCUCAUUUUCUCAGAUGAUUUUAUCAAGUUCUGGAAUAAGUCUUAAGAGAUAAUGUGGAUGGAGCUGGAGAAAUGGAUCAGUGUUUAAGAUGACUUCUCCUCUAGAAGUCCUGAGUUCCAAUUCUCAGCAACCACAUGGUGGCUCACAAUCAUCUGUAAUGAGAUC
rnacentral:sRNA from 1 species